CUCCUCCUCCUCCUCCUCCUCCUCCUCCUCCUCCCCUUUUCUGCAGCUCCGGUGGGAGACAACCAGCCCCCAAAAUGGCUGCCUGGGUGCCAGGGGGACCACAGGCUGCUCUCCCAUCUCCCAUAAUCACCGGGGCGAUGCUCGGAUGCCUUCGCCAUUUGCAUAAUGCCAUCCUGACACUUUCACUUCCGCCAUCCAUCACCGGCGGCGUGAGUCCCGCGGCCUGCUCCGUCGCUCCGUCUCCCCCUGAUUGCGUCCUGUGUUUAUCUGCCCAAGCACAAAAGAUUGAUUCCCCGCUGUCUCUCGGCCUUAUGUUCAGCAGAUAGGGAUUUUUGCCGAAUGAUGAAGCACCCAGUCAGCUAAUGAUAAACAGAAAACACAUAUUCAAAAGGAUGGUCUCUCCCCCCCCCUCCCUCCCUCUCCCCCUCUCCCCGGCGUUAGUGUGGCUGCUGCUCGCCUCGCCUGCUCCUCUGCCAUGUGUGGGGAAAGGAGGGAUGUCAGGUUAAGGAAGUGAACACACUCUGCAGGGAGUUCAAUUUGAAACGCAAUUGUUUUCCUGUCAGUCCUUUUACAUUUUUUCUGUUGAUUUGCUCCAGGGGUAAGAGAAAAUGAAGGACUGGGAGGAAAGUGAGAUAGCAAUUAAAAUAAAACUGUCGUCUUGAUGGCUGCUCUUGUUCUUCCACACGCCACGGUGCAGGCGGAUGUGACAGGCCACGCUUCAAGAACAUAUCCUGGCUGGAAGAUAAAAGCAGACACCAGCGCAGUCCAGUACCUUUUUAAGAGGACGGAAUUGGUACAAGAGGAUUCCUAUGGGCUGCUGCUCCAGAAAGAGGAACAUGCUAAACCCAAGUAAGCAUCAUGCAUUCAAUCAGCAAGCAUGAUGCCGCGUUUAACACCAACAUCAAGUGAAUGUACGUCGUAACAGAUGCACGUUUCAGUAUUACAUCCAUUGAACAUCUAAAAUGUUCUCGCAUCGUGUUAAUGAAGUGGGCUGGAGUCACAUUUCUUUAAACGCAGGCUACUCGCGCAGCUCUUAACACGAUGCUGUGGCUCGCUCCGCUAAUGCGACGCUGCUGUUUGCUACUGCGGAAUGUCAACGCAAAGUAUUUCAGCAAGUCGGCAAAGUUUCACUCCACGAUAACAAAAUACUAUUAGCUGCUGUCACGUACAGGAGAAGAGAGAUUAUUUUAUUUAUUGAAAUGAGAUUGAAAUGAUAAAUCUCUCUCCCCAUGAUAAAACACUGGGACUCAUAAGCCUAGUGUGGGGGAUAGGGAUUAGAAAAAGAUGGAGGCGAGAGAGACUGAGCGAGAGAGAGAGAGAGAGAGAGAGAGAAAAAGAGAGAGCGAGAGAGAGAGGAGAAGAAAUUCAUAAUGCAUAAUAAAACAAAAGGUGUCGUGGGAAACAUCACUGAUAUUAAAAUCAGAGGCAGACAGAUCUAUAUGAAAAAUGCAGAUUUGAAAAUGUAAAUAACUAUGGCCCUAGGGGGGGAGGGGGAGUGAUUCAAAGAUAGGAUGACAACAUGAAGAGAAAGGCAUUUAUAUGGGAGCUUUGAUGUUUCUCACAUCCAAAUUUAUGCUACUGACGACCAAAAUAAUGCCACAGAAGGGGGAUUUUACACAGUGCACUGCUUACCCGGGCUUCAUACCACGAUGAUAUAAAACACAUUAUGCUUCACAUUAUCCCAGUGUGACAAUGACUCGUAAUGAGAUGAUUCACAUUCAGGAGAGAUACUUAAGAUUGCAUUUUCAACAUUUCCAAACAACAACAUGUUAUCUUCACAUUAAAGCCCUGUUUUCCGAAACAAAGCGUUUGAUCCGUGUUCAAACGGGUGUUCCUUCAGUGGGAAAUCCCCACAGUGUGCCGAACCCCGGCCUGUCAGGAUGACCCCCUCACCUUCAUCCAAAUGCAGCCCAUAUUGCUUUGAUUCUCCGUCGGAGUUGAGCUGUCAAUCAAGAUCAGCAUGACAAUGGACCCUGGUAGGUGGAUGAAAUAUCUCUUUAAUAAAGCUGACUCUCAUCGUCAAUCAAGGGCAAACGAAGAUGCUUUUAAAAUAAUGCUGCCAUGGUGCCCAAAUGACAUGUUAAGUGAAAUAUGAAGGUGCUGGAACGUUCGGCUUACGAUACGUGAACAUGUUCUUUUGUUGUUCUUCCCGUUCGCAAAUCUAGAUCAUCGUUGGUGCUUUUUCUUUUCCCGAUUGCAUUUGACAGAAGGUUUGUGGGAGUGUGAGAAAACUAUAUUAGGACACCCUUGUGUCGACUGGUGCUCGUCGUUUUACGUGCCGGAUUGCCAGGGAAAGAGUGGGCGUAGCCGUCUAUCUCCCCGUGGAAAUCCACCGCACAAGUUUAGCCUUGUUGUGGUGCUUUACAAUACUUGGCUUCCUGAACAUUGUCAUUAGAGGGUUCUCUCAGAGAAUGUAUCAUUUUUCUGGCAUUUCUCUCUUUUUAUUCUUUGGUUUGAAUAGAUACAAGCUUCACGAGACGAGAGCGUCGAGUCGCUUGAAGCACUGAUGCCACACUAGUCAGAUUCAUUGGCUCUUCAUUGGAGUUUUGCAUUCGUUGUUGAAUGUUGAGAUUAAGAUCCUCUUCUCAUUGUGACAAUUCCUCAGAAUAUAAUAGUGUAACCUUUACGUUUUAGUUUGGACACUAUGGACACUUACCUGUUGGGAAAAUGGUUCUGAAACAAUAUCCAAUAACUUAUUACACAUUUAUUAAUAGAUUACCAACGUCUACAUAAUCCAUAACAAAUACCAAGAUUUUGCAAACUGACAGCCGCAAACCUGCUCUUAUUUUCAUCAUAGCUGAUAAUUAAAUUAUUUACAAAAUAGUAUUAAAGAAAUGUACUACAAUUACAGAAUUAUAUAGAGUGGCUUUUUGGAACAGAAAUGAAAAUUAAUUUUCACAACUUCAUCUGCAUACAAAGUGGUUUGUGGGAUGGGAGCCAGAGCCUUCAGUGAUCAAGCUCCUCUUUUGUGAAACCAGCUUCCGCCUUCACUCCGGGGUGGGGGGGCAGACACAGUCCCAUUUCAGACAAAGCUUAUUAAGACUUUCCUCUUUGAUUAUGCGUAUGGUUAUAGGCUCAGGUUAGCCUGGGCCAGCCCUUAGGUAAGAUGCUAUAGGUGGAGACUGCCGGGGGAUUUCUCAGGACACAACCAGCUCCCUCACCCCUUCCCUCUCUCUCUCUUUCUAUAAAAACACAGACCUCAUUAAUGCACAUCGCUAACUUUGUUUCUUUCAGUGUUUGUGCUUUGAGGCCUCGCCGGUUCUAUCUAGACCCCGUUUGUGCCUCCUGCCACCUGCUCCUGCUAUCACUAUCACUGUUCAUAUGAAUCAUAUAACUAUUACUGUCCUCAUAAACCAACUGGCUUUCCCUCCCAACAGGUUUCGGUGGACAGUGGUUAUAUCUCCCAGAGGUUUACUCCCUUUUUUCGUUGUUCCUGUGCCGAUCUGAGGGUUUCGGGACAGAGGAUGUCGCACGUGUACAGACUUUAAAGCCCUCUGAGGCAAACUUGUACUUUGUGAUUUUUUUGGCUGUACAAAAUAAAAUUAAUUCAGAAUUCAAACCCUAUAAUCUGGGUACAUUUUUCCACUGUCUGACAGUUUUUUUCUAACGUCAGAAUUCUUUUGAGAUAGAAAGAAAAGCCAAAGCCUCAAAAAAACGGAAUCUCAGUCAUUUUCAAUUUUUUAAAUUUCAGAACAGGAAUUUUCUUCUAAAGUGGAAUCCAGUUGCAAAACACCAGCGGGGCAUUACUAGUUGCACUAACAUCUGCCAAGUUAGCCAACGUGGACAUCUUUUAUAGCUCUGCUAACGUCCGUCUGCCUCGGCAUACAGGGACUUUCCUUUUUCCAUCCGCUCCACAUCUGCUUUUAGUCAGGGCCUGAGGUCCCUCCAUCCUCUCCCUCCGCCUUCCCCAUUCCCUUCCAUCCCUUCAUCCCUCCUGCCCUUCAGCUUUCUGUUCUCUUGCCAGGACUGUAAUCAAGCCUUCAGCUUGUGGCGAGGGCCUACCCCCCUCUCAGCCCGUAAAAGCCACCAACAGACUAAACUAUGAGCGAAAUCGAGGGAAGAGAACAGAAGGAGGCGAGCGGGGUGUGAGAGAUAGUCAUUAAAACUUUGCCCCGUACGCUAAGAGAACACCAGCAUAAUGUUUUAAAUACAGGGAUUGUUGCACUGUGUUUGGGUAAACAUUACGGUUGAAAGUUCAGGCACCGUCUAAAAUUGCAGGGCAGGAACAGAAUGGGAACUAAUGAAAAACAUGUGCACCUCACAUUCCACUCAUAGCGUCGUCUGAUAAAGGCCUUUGUCAGAAUGUUUGGUGGUUGGCAAAGACGUGGGAGUUGCUAUUAUGCAUAUUGUGCUGACGUAUUUCAAAGUGAUUAGGCCACCUUUUAAAGUUGUCCUUAGGGGUUGAACGUAGCUGCUUUUGUACGCUUUCCCCCGUCUCCAAUGUCAUCUUCCUUUUGCCAGAGGGCACGGUGCAACGGCCUUCUCCUCGCUCCUGAUCAACGCCCGCUCACAUGACAUGACUGCAACCGCAGACCACUAUUCUGGACUGUCUUUUGGUUGGAUGUGAUGUUAUUAGCUCUGCCUUCCAUGGCCAGGUGCACGUGAAAUGUGUCAUUGCUACUGGAAAACAAUACCGAGGCACAGAUGAUGCAGGGCUGAAAUGCACACAUUUAGGAUGGACACAAUGUAAGCACCAUAUAGAGCCGAGUAGUCGAGGGCGGUACAGCUGUGGGGUGAUGUGGGCCUUAAAUUUGAGUGAAAGCAAAAAGUUUAUUUCCUGUAAAAAAGAUUAAGGGAAAAGUAAAAGCUGAUUUGGGCAAAAGGAUUUGAAAAAAAAGUUCAGUUCCGACAUCAGAAGAUCCCCCUCCAAUAUUUUUAGCCAUCCAAAUAUUUGUUUGCCUUUUUAAACCAAAUUUAAAUAAAAUAGGUUCACUUUAUUUUCUAAAGACAUUUGUAAAGGAAGAUCCAUGGCAGGAAAUCUGCCCAAAUCCUUGGAAAAUCCAAUAAUAUUUGCACAGAGCUUAAAACAUGCAAAGUCCCUGCGUACGAAUUAAGCUGGAAAGGAAAGCCCUGCUGGUUAUGCAUUAAAAUGGAUUGGAAGCGAGGUUUGACUCCUACAGGUAAAAGCCCUGGAGUGACGACUGAUUUUGCACUUUGACGAGACAAAUACGAAAGAUGUCCCUUCACUGAUGUCCAACUCCCCACUGUGCUGCAGGAUAAUCUGUUUGGCAGCGCUGCACAUCGCUCACUGACCCUCUCAAGCUCUCACAGCUACCUUAGAAAAAGCAAGCACAAAGAGAUCUUCUACUGUACGUGGCACAAGGCCAUUGAUGUGUGGUGCACAUGUAACGGAUACACUCCAUUGUGACAGACGGGAACGAGAAGAGAGACAAGCUUGUGCAAGAAAAGGGACAAGAACACCUUUCCGGCUAUUAUGGACUAUUGAAGUCCAUAAGAGGCGGAAAGGUUUUCUCUUGCAGAUGCGCUACCAAGGCCAGCGCUGAUUACAGGACGCAUCCUGACACAGAACGCUUGCGUGCCGUCAACGCAGGGACAACAAAUAUAGAGUUUAUAGCACAUUAAGAAUUGAACAGGCAAUCUUGUCACGCAAUUAAUGGCGUCUGAAAACAAGCUCUAUUUGCGUUGAAAGCACUCCAACAUGAAUGUAGGCCACGACUGUUGUGUGCUUUGUUUUCCGCUGAUUCGCCCUUGAGGAUCACAGUUCCAGAACUCGCACACUUCACAAAGCUUCCCUGCGAGUUGCUCUUCCCCCCCUUACAUGUUCGUGUGUGAAAACCACAAGGCGUAUCUACAGUUACAGUUCCUCUUCUGUUUGUCCACAAAGAAUAGCCAAGGUGAUUCUGAUUAUACGUAACAGUGUUUGACAUUGACAAGCUGUUCAGGACACAAAGUAUUACACUACUUUGAGUGUGUGCCUGUGUGGGAUUCGGAUAUUUACGUUGGAAAAUGAUCAUUGUAAAACACCCAAGUCUCCUUAAUUUUCAUGUUGGCUUAAGUAUAUUUAUCAAUCUUCUGGUUCAUCAGUAAUGUGGACCCUGUAGCUCAGGGAUCCCCAACCAGCGGGCACCACAGAAAGAAUUUGUUUUUCUUUUCUGAAACAUGUUUUAUUUUGAAAAUUGCCCGGAUCCUCUCUAAUUAUGUGCGCUCGUCCCUCUUCACGUAUUCACCAAGCGUCACCAAGCGUUUUUCUUCACGUUUACAAUUGUCUUACGGGGCACGGCAGUUUCGCCCACCAGCGAACAGACGGCGCACGAUUCCGCCUUCUUUACCGGUCCGCGAAGUAUUGUCUAACAUGAAAACGGUCUGUGAGGUAAAAAAAAAAGGUUGGGGACCACUGCUGUAGCUGAGUGAUGACCACAAAGAAGCUUUAGGCUUACGUGCAUGCAGGUGUAAUGUAAAAGUGACCCUUUUUUUUGCCCUUUCAACACACGACAGGAUACACACACAAAUAUAUACACAUACAUACAUAUAAACCGAUACACACAAGAAAGAAACAAAAAAAAAGGGAUGUCUGGAUGUUUGUGUCCGCUCAAUAACGAGAUAAAUCCAGAGACAACAUUCAUGUGCUCUUCUCUUGUCACAUCUUCCAUUUCUCCCACUGGUCACGACAUUGUUCCUCUUUGCUUGUUAUUUUGUGGGAAACUUACCACACUUCCAUCUUUGAUAACUGUGCAUAUUGCUGUUAUUCCAUAUGAGAUCCAUUUAAACCUCUGAUCAAGAAAACCUGGAAUAAAAUGUGUAUCAUAGGCUACCCGUCGUAGCACUCUAAUACUUUCACUCACAAAAAAUUCCUGCCAUACUUGGGGAGGUCAGGCGUAAGUUCCCCCGUGUAGCUGUUUCAACUGGCCUUCUGCAACUAGGAACAGGAAGAAGGGGAAAGCCAUACAGCAAACCAGGACAUGACACUUGUACUUGAUCCAUGAGCUGGAUUGUGAAGGUUUGAUCAGCAGGAGGUCCAUAGCAACCUCUUGGGAAAGGAAUCUGGUCUCAGGUGGAGGUCUCUAGGGGAAUGCACAUGUGUGUUUUGUUCCCAUAAGUGUCAAGGCCAAAGAAAACAGCUAUGUGAAAUUGAUUUCGAAGGAGAAGCUAUGAGUGCAGUUUCUUAAACACAACUCAUCAGACGUUUUCCAGGAGAAGGUUAAUGUUGUACAUAUACAGCCUGUAAACUAGCUACUCCUAUACAUCCGCAGAUGCAGCUUAGCUUAAGAGAAUGGAGACAAUGAACAUAAAGCUUAAAUCACGUCAUUGUAAAAGUGGUGCAUUAAAGACAGCACGUCUCACAUCCACACUUCCAGAAAAUCCAAUAAUACCAAAGAUCCACACAUGAACAACAUGAAUUUCACAUGUUGCAACCUCAUAAUAUUAUUCUCAAGGAGAUACUGGUACAGAUUAACACAGUGUACAUGAAAGACCACUGAUGCCUCGCUCACAUGUGACCAAAAGUAAUCAGAUUUAGAUUCAAGUGAUCAAACUGUAAUUAAUCAUGUGAAGAGGGAAAUGAUCCUUGACGGGGCUCCAGCUGCGAGAUGCCUCUGUUUGGUCCCGCGUGCCCCUCUUACAGGGGGUCCAACGGGGCUACAUUAAGAGGCUUUGUGCCAAUGUCACCUAAAUUACAGUCACUUAACACAACAGAUGUACUGAAUGUCGAGCAAAUGAUUCGCCGUGGUUGGGGUGGUGCAUUCACAUGCAUGGAAUAAAUUUGACCCAAUGUAUCAAACAUGUUUUUCUUGCAUCCUCUCCCCCUCAGUAAAUUUGCAUUUUGCUAUAUGAUGAGCAUGCUCCACUAACCCACACUGCCUUGUAUCUCAAUCUCCAAUAUAUGGUUCUUUUAUUUGCUGGCCUCUACGGCCUCCAAUGCAACGUUUUGCACUUAAAAAAAUAAACAUAUUUAUUCCAGUGGAUCAGUUUGAGGAGAUUUUCUCUGCUCUUAAAGGCUCAGCAGUAGAUAUGCCAGCUGGCUUAGUUCAGAAGAUUAUUUUUCUCUUUGUGUGGCAGACUCCUCAGUGGAGGUAGAGGCAGAUACAGGUAUUCAGAUGGGAGCCACGCGGACUGGGCCAUUGUGCUUUCCUGCACGUAGGAACAGAGCGUUCUUGCAUUGCAGGUACAGAGGGGGACAAUAACCCAGGGUUGCAGGCACAAAUUGCAUUCAUCAACUUUAUCAAUAGAGUGAAAAUUUAAGCCAAUCCUACCAACAUAUCCACCCCCUUCUUCAUAAGUCUUCAAUGCACAAGUUAAUUCUGCAUACACUGAGAGAAAUGAUCUGCUCACAAUUAUGCUUUCUCGGAUGGGAUAUUUGAUCGAACCAACACAGCUACUGCCACCGCUCUUGCAACAAUCCCCCCAAAUCAGUGACGAUCUAAUUUCUUUAAUACGAAAAGCAAUGCAUUGAUGCCAUAGCCCCUCUUUUCAUGUGUGUGAGAGACGGCGAGAGGGAGAGAGAGAGAGAGAGAAAGAGGGAGACAGGGAAGGAAGGGGCGGGAGAUUAUAGGCAGUUUAAAAGAUGAAACCCUUCAGUCUGUAAUUGUACUUUACUGGGAGAAAGAAUAAAGCAAGAGGAGAGGCAUUCUGAAAAAUCAUAAGCCAUUAUGUUGGAAAAAGAGUUUGUGGGGCGGGGCGUGUGUCCACAUAAAGCACUGCUGAGAACCUCCAGCAAAUUACCCCGCAGGCCUGCGCGGAGGGGGAAAUAUCACUAAUUGGCCUCCAUUCUGUCAGGUCAAUUGACUCUAAUUGGAAAAAUAAUAAAAAGCACCCUACCCCAGGAGCAGCAAGCUCUGAAAGCGACAGCGCCCGUUUUGGAAAUGGAUAAGGUGGGUUGAUGGAUGGCGGGGGAGGAGGGGGGGGGUGGGGUGCUCGGCUACACAUAUACGGCAUCUGAAAUCUAUUUUUGCCUCCACCAUUCCUCCUUGAAAACUAUAGCAUGCCUUCCCCCUGCCACACACCUUAAUGUAUGUAAUAAAACUGCCUCCGGAUGUGCAUGUCUGUAGGGGGGAGGGGGUCAUCUGGUCAGUUACUAUUGAAUUGUCUCCGCGCAGAGCUCAGUAAUUUGGAGUUAAAUGAGCGUGGUGGGGAGACAGGCCACAUACAAGAGUGGGGAUAUGCAGAUGGGGAACAAGGAAGUGUUGAAUAUGAGCAAUGCCCCAGGUGUUGGCAGACAAGAGGGAAUAGAGCUAAUCUACUAUCUACAUUACUAAGUUAUUGGAGAUGAAUGGCUCUGCUAAUACACACUGCUCAUUGGCGGAUGCAGCCGUUUGAGGGGCUCAGAAGUUGUAAUUUAGUUUGAAUCGAGUGUUUCCGCAAACUAGAUAGAUAAGAUCACAUGUGUGCCCCUCCUCUUGUGUGUUUUUAUUUACGCCCAGAACUAAUUGAAUGAUCAAUUUAAUAGAUGGGGUCAAUUAAAUAUGAAUUUAAAUACAUCUUCCAAAAUGUUUAGGCAGCUUUUCUGUUUUUAUCCAAAAGUAUAACCGGAAAUCAUUUUGUAGAUGAAUUACUAUUACUGAGGAG
ensembl:lncRNA